UUAUUUAAAAGUUAUUCAUGCUUGGAUUUAAUUAUCUAUUUCAAACACAUGAAAACCUAUCGCAACUAAUGGGUAAGUCUCACACCCGCCAUCACCACCAAAUAGCACUUAAACUCCUUUCUUUAGGGGAGAUAAUGCAAUACAAUAUCGUCUUGAAUUUGAUGAACUCAAGUCUAGACUUCGGUAAAACAAGAGUAAAAGAGGUAGAAGGCAACUUAGUUUUUCGAGAUAAAGUAUAUUCAAUACCCUAAUAGUAAAUAAUUAUUAAUUCAAUAGAUAAUCAUUUUAAUAUGUGGUGUCCCUAGAUAACUGGGAUGUUCGUCAAACAAAUGGAGCCUUGUUUAAUUUAAUAUCAUAUCAAACCCUACACUUCUGAAUUGUCGAAAAUAACCACUAUGGAGCCUUUUUCCAAAGACGCUUUUUGUUUCUUCUCGUAUCCUUUGUUCAAUGCAAUGCGCAUAACUAAUCUCUUAUUUCUUUCUUUUCUUAUAUUGUCGAAAAAGCUUAUAAUAUCAAGGAGGAUAUAAAUUGAGCACUAAGCAUUAGAAUGCACAUCUUGUUCAAUGAAUGUAGGCAUAGAGACAGGUAACAGGGAUCACUUUCUUGGCUCAUUUUACCUACAGUGAGUUUGAGAGAAUCCUAUUAUUAACAAUGAGAAUUCGCCUUUUGACAUGAUUAUUUCUUGACGACGAAAAUCGCUAAAUUAAUAAACAUUUGGUUAUGCGAAGGCUUUCCUCCUCAGUAGUGCUGCUUCAAGUCACUUGAGGUU